rnacentral:rRNA from 1 species
UGGGGAAUAUUGCACAAUGGGCGCAAGCCUGAUGCAGCCAUGCCGCGUGUGUGAAGAAGGCCUUCGGGUUGUAAAGCACUUUCAGCGGGGAGGAAGGCGUUAAGGUUAAUAACCUUGGCGAUUGACGUUACCCGCAGAAGAAGCACCGGCUAACUCCGUGCCAGCAGCCGCGGUAAUACGGAGGGUGCAAGCGUUAAUCGGAAUUACUGGGCGUAAAGCGCACGCAGGCGGUCUGUCAAGUCGGAUGUGAAAUCCCCGGGCUCAACCUGGGAACUGCAUUCGAAAGUGGCAGGCUAGAGUCUUGUAGAGGGGGGUAGAAUUCAAGGUGUAGCGGUGAAAUGCGUAGAGAUCUGGAGGAAUACCGGUGGCGAAGGCGGCCCCCUGGACAAAGACUGACGAUCAGGUGCGAAAGCGUGGGGAGCAAACAGG